rnacentral:rRNA from 1 species
CAGCAGCCGCGGUAAUACGAAGGGGGCUAGCGUUGUUCGGAUUUACUGGGCGUAAAGCGCACGUAGGCGGACUCUUAAGUCAGGGGUGAAAUCCCGGGGCUCAACCCCGGAACUACCUUUGAUACUGGAAGUCUUGAGUAUGGUAGAGGUGAGUGGAAUUCCGAGUGUAGAGGUGAAAUUCGUAGAUAUUCGGAGGAACACCAGUGGCGAAGGCGGCUCACUGGACCAUUACUGACGCUGAGGUGCGAAAGCGUGGGGAGCAAACAGGAUUAGAUACCCCAGUAGUCCCUGUCUCUUAUAC